rnacentral:rRNA from 1 species
CGACCGUAGGAGUCUGCGUGCUGUAAUCACAUGCAAGUCUAGCGAUAAACUACUCAGGUAGUCAAUUAGCGGCGAACUUGUUAAGAACACGUGACGAAUCUGCCUUCACAGCUGGCAUAACUCCUCGGAAACAGGGGCUAAUGCCGAGAUAUGGUACUUGGUGGAAUGCUUCCGAGUUUGGAAAGUUUUUCGGUAUAAGAUGACCUCUCGGACUAUCAGCUUGUUGGUCAGGUAAUGGCUCUCCAAGGCGACCACCAGGUAGCCCAGCCUGAGAGAGCUUCCGGCCACACUGGGCCUGAGACACGGCCCAGACUCCUACGGGAGGCAGCAGUGGGGAAUAUUCGGCAAUGGAGGAAACUCUGACCCAGCGACGCCGCGUGCGGGAUGAAGGCCUUCGGGUUGUAAACCGCUUUCAGUAGGGAAGAAGCGAAAGUGACGGUACCUACAGA